UUAGGAUGAACGCUAGCUACAGGCUUAACACAUGCAAGUCGAGGGGUAGCAGGGUAGCAAUACCGCUGACGACCGGCGCACGGGUGAGUAACACGUACUCCAACCCUUCCCAAUAACUCAGGGAUAGUCCUUUACGAAAGAAAGAUUAAUACCUGAUAGUACUUUUUCAAGGCAUCUUGAGAAAGUUAAAGAUUUAUUGGUUAUGGAUGGGGAUGCGUUCCAUUAGAUAGUUGGUGAGGUAACGGCUCACCAAGUCUUCGAUGGAUAGGGGUUCUGAGAGGAAGGUCCCCCACAUUGGUACUGAGACACGGACCAAACUCCUACGGGAGGCAGCAGUGAGGAAUAUUGGUCAAUGGGCGAGAGCCUGAACCAGCCAAGUAGCGUGAAGGAUGAAGGUCCUAUGGAUUGUAAACUUCUUUUAUAGUAGAAUAAAGUGAUCCACGUGUGGAUUUUUGUAUGUAUACUAUGAAUAAGGAUCGGCUAACUCCGUGCCAGCCGCAGC
rnacentral:rRNA from 1 species